rnacentral:rRNA from 1 species
UACGUAGGGACCAAGCGUUGUUCGGAUUUACUGGGCGUAAAGGGCGCGUAGGCGGCAAUUCAAGUCAUCUGUGAAAUCUUCGGGCUUAACUCGGAACGGUCAGAUGAUACUGUUUUGCUAGAGUGCGGAAGGGGCUACUGGAAUUCUCGGUGUAGCGGUGAAAUGCGUAGAUAUCGAGAGGAACACCUGCGGCGAAGGCGGGUAGCUGGGCCGACACUGACGCUGAUGCGCGAAGCGUGGGGAGCAAACGGG